rnacentral:rRNA from 1 species
GACGAACGCUGGCGGCGUGCUUAACACAUGCAAGUCGAACGGUAAGGCCCUUCGGGGUACACGAGUGGCGAACGGGUGAGUAACACGUGGGUGAUCUGCCCUGCACUUCGGGAUAAGCCUGGGAAACUGGGUCUAAUACCGGAUAGGACCACUGCCUGCAUGGGUGGUGGUGGAAAGCUUUUGCGGUGUGGGAUGGGCCCGCGGCCUAUCAGCUUGUUGGUGGGGUGAUGGCCUACCAAGGCGACGACGGGUAGCCGGCCUGAGAGGGUGACCGGCCACGCUGGGACUGAGAUACGGCCCAGACUCCUACGGGAGGCAGCAGUGGGGAAUAGUGCACAAUGGGCGCAAGCCUGAUGCAGCGACGCCGCGUGAGGGAUGACGGCCUUCGGGUUGUAAACCUCUUUCAGCACCGACGAAGCGCAAGUGACGGUAGGUGCAGAAGAAGGACCGGCCAACUACGUGCCAGCCGCCGCAGUAA